rnacentral:rRNA from 1 species
GGGCCCGCACAAGCGGUGGAGCAUGUGGUUUAAUUCGAUGAUACGCGAGGAACCUUACCAGGGCUUAAAUGUAAGUUGCAUAAACUAGAGAUAGUUUUUUCUUCGGACUACUUACAAGGUGCUGCAUGGUUGUCGUCAGCUCGUGCCGUGAGGUGUCAGGUUAAGUCCUAUAACGAGCGCAACCCCUAUCGUUAGUUGCCAACAGGUUAAGCUGGGAACUCUAACGAGACUGCCGGUGCAAACCGCGAGGAAGGUGGGGAUGACGUCAAAUCAUCACGGCCCUUACGUCCUGGGCUACACACGUGCUACAAUGGCCGGUACAGAGAGCAGCCACUCCGCGAGGAGGAGCGAAUCUAUAAAACCGGUCUCAGUUCGGAUCGCAGUCUGCAACUCGACUGCGUGAAGCUGGAAUC